GAUGCAGGAAAGUGACGUAAAAACCAUCUAUAUAUUUCACAUCCCUUCCUCUCUCCGGCCUCUUUGGCAGUGGAGAGGUGGCUGGCAGAGGGUGCUGAGAGUUUUCGGGUCAUCUUGGGUGGCGGCUACUAUUGUCCGGGUUUAGCGGAAAUGAAAAAUUCAAGGAAGGUGUAAAAAGAAAGAAAAAAAAAGCUUCAAGCAUAAAGAAAGCUUCAUAGAUAGUCUGGGUGGUACCAGAUGGCCUCAAAGCACCUGACAUCAUGGACAAGAUCUUCCUCAUACUCCCUGUUGGUUAACCUUGGGUAAAUCAAAUUAAAUUUCAUGACCUUCCACCAAUUAUUGUAUAGCUCUGGAAGGACUGAGCAGCAAAUUAGACAUACCCUAUUCUACCAAUCAUCAUCCUAGAACCUCCCAAAAGAGAAGGAAGCAUAUCUUAUAAGCAUAAAAGAAAGGACCUUUGCUCUAUGUAACAAGGGAAGGCUGGAAAACCAUCUUUGGAGUUACCACUCCACAUCCCCCAUAUCUGGAUAUAAAUUUUGAGGCCCAAAGUACCCCACUUCUGUCUCCAGCCUGCUAUGAAGAAUAAAAUCUACUUUGACAUGUAA